AGUCCCAUCAGGGCUCUGGAGCCCAAGACCCAGCAUCCAAGGUCCCCUCCAGGAAUCCUGGUGGCUCAGCUUACUUUAUUGUGUUUCAUCUGACAACAAAAAUAUCAGAUUGGAUGCACAGAAAAAUGACUCAAAGUGCUUAAUGACUAGAAGAAAUCUAGGAGCAGCAAGAAGGUGUGGAGCUGGGCAUGGUCACUCCUGCUGGAUGUCUAGAAGGUGGAAACCAAGGACCUAGAGAAAUAGCAGGUACAGCCUUUCCAAGCUCAUCCAGAGCAAGACAAACAGGCCAGGCUGUGUCAGGAGUCCAGGUCUCCAGCUGGAGGGACUGUCAACCCUGCAGUGGGAGCAGGGGCCCGUCGCACAUCCUAGGCACAGAUGGUAACAUAGGCACCACAGAAGCACUGCUGACUGGUGGUUGUCAUUGUGGCAGUGAGCCUUUUGUUCAUUCUGAGGUUGGGCUGGUUUCUCCUUUUGGCCCUGCCCUACAGAUCAUAAAGGAGAACAGCAAGAGGUCCCCAGCAAACAUCCACAGAUGGCCCUGGAGAUAAGUCACCUUCUGAGAAACAUGUCAUGUUCUGGGAGGGCUAAGGUAUCAAGUAAGGCUUAUGGGGUUGGAGGAUCCCAGGGCUGGUGGGGCAAUCCCGAGCCAUGGGGGCUUCCUAUGGGAAUUGGGAGGUCCCAAGGCAAAGACAGGGGUUCCACAGGAGGAGUCACAGAGCCACCAAGGGCUCUCCUGGCCCAGGGAGCUGUCAACACCAUGUACUGAACACCUGCUGGGCUCCAAGCUCUGGUCCAGGCUGGGCAUGUGGGUUCCAGAGGGAGCUCAGAGUGGGAGGCAGAGAGAAGUGUGAUCAGAGGGUACACAUUUCUGGGUGCAAUGUUGUCCUGAGAUUUUGGCUGGUAAGUGCUUCCAGGGUUUCAUAUGUGUUAUGGAGCUGCUUCCUCUCCCCAGCCUCACCCUGCAGGAAUCCAGUGAAUAUAUUUCCACCAUCUUGGAGCUUAGUGCCCUCAUAGUGUAACAGCACCAGCAGAUCUUCCUGUGCAUGGACUUCCUGUACUACCCAUUCCUGAGGGGUGAUGCUUCUACAGGGCCUGUGACUUGGUGCACAACUUCAGACACCAUUAUCCUGGAGCAGCAAUGCACCCUCACUAGCCAGGGUGUUGAUGACUUCCUCAAGGUCAAGACCACGUUCAAGAUUUCGGACUUUAUUGAUGCACUUGUGAUGAGCAAGGUGGGCAUCUCCGGGAUCUUAAUUGAGGAGAUAGAAUGCAGCUUGAGAUCAAGUGUCUGAUCAAAGAGCUUGAACUUGAUCUGGAGGGCUUUGGCGAGCCAUGGAAGAGGCUGGAUAAGGGAGGGACAGUCAGAUACGUGUUAGAGAUGACUGUAGACGUCUGCCUGGAAGGAGUGAACAAGAGCCAGGAGACCAGGGAGGGAGCUUGUGGGGCAGGUCUGGAGAUGGCAAGGGAAGGAUCCUGCUUGGAUGAACGGUCUCCAGAGACUGUCUCAGGUUACACUCAGGUGCCCUGAGAGCUAGUGUGUUCAGAGAUCUUGUCUCCAGGAUGAAAAUGGGAAGGAGUUGUCAGAUGAGGACAUGUAAAUGGAAGCUGGCAUAUUCGGCCUCACUGCAUUGCCGCUGUCCAUCCUGUGGUGCUGAAGCAACCAAGAGACCCAAGCCUGCAUGGCUGCCUGUUAGGAUAUGACAGCACAGCCAGUGGCCUCUACUUGAUCCUGUACAACCUCACAAGACACCCAGACACCAGGAGUGCUGCCAGCACGUGUUGCAAGAGUCCUGAGGAGCCACAGUCCUGAAGACAUUGAAUGGAAACUCAAACUAAGACACACAUUUUUCUGUCAGCUUCUACAAUCCUCAUAGACCUGUCAUUAUGCUGAGGAUCAGAGGGAAAGUCACUUGCCCAAAGUCACACAGCUGAACAGUGGUGGAGUUCAACUUUGACCAUUGCCUGUCUUGUCCCAAGGUGAA